rnacentral:piRNA from 1 species
UAAAAGUCUAAAUGAUGGCGCUAGAGCAAGG